rnacentral:rRNA from 1 species
GACCCAGACUCCUACGGGAGGCAGCAGUGAGGAAUAUUGGUCAAUGGGCUUACGCCUGAACCAGCCAAGUCGCGUGAGGGAUGACGGCCCUACGGGUUGUAAACCUCUUUUGCCGGGGAGCAAAGAGCGGGACGCGUCCCGCCUCGAGAGUACCCGGAGAAAAAGCAUCGGCUAACUCCGUGCCAGCAGCCGCGGUAAUACGGAGGAUGCGAGCGUUAUCCGGAUUUAUUGGGUUUAAAGGGUGCGUAGGCGGUCCGUUAAGUCAGCGGUAAAAUUGCGGGGCUCAACCCCGUCGAGCCGUUGAAACUGGCAGACUUGAGUUGGCGAGAAGUACGCGGAAUGCGCGGUGUAGCGGUGAAAUGCAUAGAUAUCGCGCAGAACUCCGAUUGCGAAGGCAGCGUACCGGCGCCAGACUGACGCUGAGGCACGAAAGCGUGGGUAUCGAACAGGAUUAGAUACCCCUGUAA